rnacentral:lncRNA from 1 species
CAAGAACCUCUGCGACCCGAAGCUGACCUCUUUGGAAUUCCUGGGUUCAGCACUUUCCCCUCUGUCCGAUUUCAUUCAGGUCAACUGGACACUGCAGAAAGUGUUAUUUGCAUAAAGUGUCUCGCAGUAGGACAGAACGAGGGACCUCGUGGUUGUUAAGGAAUCUUCUUGACCAUUCGGCCGUCCUCUGCCUACACACACACACACACACGAAGCACCUGCUGAAAAUGACGUGCAACUUCCAAAGAAAGUUUUAACACUGGAAAACUUCAAGGUGCGUACGUCAAAGUUUAUUUCUAUAGCAUAUCUGUGCCUGUCUAUCUCUGUCUGUCUAUCUAUCGGUACUACUUGAGAAGAGUGGUCCCGGUGCGCGCACUCGCGUACUCGUGCAUCCGCGCUAGCUAGUCAUGAUUAGUCGAUCCUUACUUUGUGUUUUUGUGUUUUAUUUAUUUUAACAAAAAUUAUUUACUUUGUGUUAAAAAAAUUAUUUUGUGUAGUAUUUACUUUGCUAGCUAGUCGUAGGAUCGACUAGUCACGACUAGCUAGCGCGAGUGCGCGCACCGGGACCACUGUUCUCAAGUAGUACCGUAUCUCUCUGUUUGUCUAUCUAUCUGUCUGAAAAGGAAGUUGUUCCGCUUGAACGCACACAGAAACCUUCCAGUCUGGCCUUAGAUGAUACAAAGAAGUAAAGACAACCCUUCCUGCUAUAAACAUGGCCACCACCACCAACAUUCAUGUUGGAAGCUUUAAAGCUGAAGAAAAGAAUCGUCCUUUUCGAAGGAAGAAAUGCUUCUCUCUGUCUAUCCAUCUAUCUGUCUGUCUCUCUCUCUAUCUAUCUAUCAUCUAUCUUAUCUGUCUGUCUAUUUAUCUAUCUGCCUACCUACAUACCUAUCUAUCUACCUGUUUAUCUAGCUAUCUCUCUUUACUCUUUUACUUGUUUCAGUCAUGUGACUGUGGCCAUGCUGGAGCACCGCCUUUAGUCGAUCAAAUCGACCCAAGGACUUAUUCUUUAAACUUCGUAUACUGGUAGAAUGUGUUUAUAAAACAUCUUUUUCUCUUGGAUUUCUUGAGAAAAUUCUGUAGCUUGUAAGCUAUUUGUUGUUUAAUUUCUUGCAUUUCGGCAAUUUCAACCAAACAAUGACGUCUAUUGAGGUGAAUAUAAUAUCUGCCGUAGUUUAUCAACAGCAAUAAUUGUAGCUUACAAACUACAGAAUUUUCUCAAGAAAGCCAAGAGAAAAAGAUGUUUUAUGUAACAGAUUCUACCAUUACACAAAGUUUAAAAGUGUUUAGUUACCUAGAAAUUAUGUUAAAAACUGCUGUUCAAACCGAAAAGAUAAGAGGGAACAGACAAGGACAGACAAAGGGAUUAAGUUGAUUACAUCGACCCCAGUGCGUAACUGGUACUUAAGUUUAAAAGUGUUUAGUUACAAAGAAAUUAUUUUAAAAAUCUGCCAGUCAAAACGAAAAGAUCCAGGGAAUCGAACUCACUAACAUGCGAUUGAUAGCCCGAUGCGCUAACCACCGAGCCAUGCGCCUUCCGCUUAGACAGUAACCAUGGUGAUAGUCAACAACAAUAUUACGUUCCCCCUUCCUUCUUAGUUUCGCUUUUGUGUCAGCAGCACUCUUUGUGGUUUCAUAUAUUAAAGAGUCUAAGUCACAUGACGCACCUUACUUCCGGCUUGUCACGUUUCCUCAAUUCUUUGGAGACGAAAUCGAAAGUAAAUAAAUAUUUAUUUAUUUAUUAAGCAUCAGGGGUAAGUUAGCGUGGCCGUCUGCCAACCUCGUCUGGCAUCUGUGUCGGUGGCACAUAAAAUCACCCACUACACUCUCGGAGUGGUUGGCGUUAGGAAGGGCAUCCAGCUGUGGAAACACUGCCAGAUCUGAUUGGCCUAGUGCAGCCUUCGGGCUUGCCAGACCCCAGUUGAACCGUCCAACCCAUGCUAGCAUGGAAAGCGGACGUUAAACGAUGAGGAUGAUGAUGAUGAUGUAUAUAUAUUGGAGAGGAAUACGAUCUGAUUGAAGACGUUGUAUAGCAAAUACUGCCAUUUAUAGAAAUGCCGUAGUUUGUUGUGUAUUGAUGUAGGCUGGGCAGGAAUGGAGUGGCGGUCAAUCGGAAUAGCGGAUAACGUUAUCAGCCGGUUAUUGUUAUCAAAAUCAAUUGGUUCAGACUUUAUAUUUGUUUAACGUCAUCUGUUAGGUGUUGGCCAAUGCUGUGCGGAAAUGAUCACAAUAAGCGGCUUCCACUAUAUAUAUGAUUCUUGUGAAAUUCCUUUGUAAUCACCAACUUUUGUGUGUGUGUAUGUGCAUAUAUAUGUAUAUACAUAUAUAUGUCUAUAUAUAUAUAUAUAUAUAUAUAUAUAUAUAUAUACACGUUUUUACGAAUGCACAUAUAUUUAUAUAGACGUUUUUACUUAGUAUUUUUCCAUUUUUUUGUGGAGGGGGGACAUAUAUAUAUUCAUUUUUUGUAUAUGCGUGUGUAUGUAUACGUAUAUAAAUAUGUGCGGGUAUGUACAUAUAUGGGCGUGUGUGUGUGUAUGAGUGCAUAGGGGCAUGUCCGUAUAUGAACGUGGUUUUUAUGCUUUGUAUACUUCCUUAUGUUUUUUUUUCUGUUACCUUUAACCAUGGUUUUUCUUGUGUUUGUGCGUAUAUAGACGUAUGUAUGAACUUUUAUGGUACGCAUGUGUGUGUGUGUAUGAGGUUGUAUAUAUAUAUGCGUAUAUAUUUGGCGAAAAAUGCGAGUGAAGAUGUGUACGUUUCCAUAGUGACGUAUAAGUACGCACGUGGGUUUUGGCGCAGAAUUAUAAGACAGUAAUUUCCCUUUAUAUAACGGUAUUUUUUCAUAGCGUUUUUUCAGAUGGCCAGAUAACCGAAGAGAUGGUGUUGUGGAUUUCCACUUCGGCAUCUGAAACUCAGCGUUUUAUCUUGACUAUUGAGUAAAUGUAACAUUAUUUUAUAGAUAAAUUUCCUCUAUUUACAUAAUAUUGAGGUCUCUUUCUUUAUUUCUUUUGUUAUCUUACCGUUUUACCAAUAUAUAUAUAUAUAUGUAUAUAUGUAGGUUCCGGGUUGAGUUGAGGUUAACCACAGUAAAUAAGGUACUCAAUACAUAGCAGAGUAAAGUAAUUUAUUUUAUAGAAGGAGCUUCUACAGGACUAGAACUGUUUCAUCUGAAUGAAACAGUUCUAGUACUGUAGAAGCUCCUUCUAUAAAAUAAAAUAAAAUAAAAUAUAUAUAUAUAAAGGUGGCGAGCUGGCAGCAACAUUAGCAUGACGGGCGAAAUGCAUGUAUCUUUACGUUAUGAGUUCAAAUUCCACUGACGUCGACUUUGCCUUUCAUCUUUCAGAGUCGAUAAAUUAAGUACCAGUUAUGCACUGGGGUCGAUGUAAUCGACUUAAUCCCUAUGUCUGUCCUUGUUUGUCCCCUCUUUGUAUAUCCCCUUGUGGGCAAUAAAUAUAUAUAUAUGUAUAUCAUCUUCAUCAUCAACCGUUUGAAAGUAAACAUUAGUCCUUGCUCUUUUUAACACAAUAACCUCUGGUAUUUCAUAUACAGCACAUGUAAGUGGAAGCGCAAUGGCCCAGUGGUUUGGGCAGUGGACUCACGUUCGGAGGAUCGCUGGUUUCGAUUCCCAGACCGGGCGUUGUGAGUGCUUAUUAAGCGAAAACACCUAAAGCUCCACGGUGCUCCAGCAGAGGGUGGUGGCGACCCCUGUUGUACUCUUUCGCCCCAACUUUCUCUCACUCUUUUUUCCUGUUUCUUGUCCCCCGACUUCCUACGCAACCGCCAAGCCUGGGUGCACAUUCAUCCAUCCAUCGAUGCUCUCGGUGUCGGAUGGCUGACCUGCUUUCUCUUCUGCGGGUCUUACGAAUAGCAAAGGACCACGUUUCCAACUUCUUCCAUCUUGCGAGCUCUGGGACGGAGACCGCUUCACUCAACAAACAAACAGCAGAUGUAAAUUAUAAAUUCUUCGUUGGUUCAAAACUUUUGGGAAUUUUUAGAAAACUCUUGCGAAUUUGUAAUUCAUAGGAUUGUGCAAAAACCAAAACAAAAUAUUUAAAAUUGCUGCGUGAUUUAAGAGCUAUUUAGCUAUUAGUUUUAGCACAUCCCACGACUACCUUAUAAUCUCCUUGUUUGUUUGUCAGACUGACGUGUUAACGUUUAUUUGGCCAGCUAAAGGUUUAUAUCUCCAGUUUAUCAGUAUAAAAACGUAAUAAAAUUUUCAUUAUUUAAUCUUUACUUUUCAAGUAUAUUCUAUAUCUCAUAUUAUUUCUUUUUUAUUUCAGAGUAUCAGAGAGGAUAUUUAGCAUAAAAGAAGAUUCUUUGGGUGUGUGAUUAUUAGCAGCAUUUCUGUACUUUUCUGCCUGGAAUGGGUGCAAGAAAACCAAUCCUGUAUUCUAAUUAAACCUGGAUUGCAAAGGAAUUGGCAGCCCCCUCAGAUGUUG